rnacentral:rRNA from 1 species
CCUACGGGAGGCAGCAGUGGGGAAUUUUGGACAAUGGGCGAAAGCCUGAUCCAGCAAUGCCGCGUGAGUGAAGAAGGCCUUCGGGUUGUAAAGCUCUUUUGUCAGGGAAGAAACGGUGAGGGCUAAUAUCCUUUGCUAAUGACGGUACCUGAAGAAUAAGCACCGGCUAACUACGUGCCAGCAGCCGCGGUAAUACGUAGGGUGCAAGCGUUAAUCGGAAUUACUGGGCGUAAAGCGUGCGCAGGCGGUUUUGUAAGUCUGAUGUGAAAUCCCCGGGCUCAACCUGGGAAUUGCAUUGGAGACUGCAAGGCUAGAAUCUGGCAGAGGGGGGUAGAAUUCCACGUGUAGCAGUGAAAUGCGUAGAUAUGUGGAGGAACACCGAUGGCGAAGGCAGCCCCCUGGGUCAAGAUUGACGCUCAUGCACGAAAGCGUGGGGAGCAAACAGGAUUAGAUACCCUGGUAGUCCACGCCCUAAACGAUGUCUACUAGUUGUCGGGUCUUAAUUGACUUGGUAACGCAGCUAACGCGUGAAGUAGACCGCCUGGGGAGUACGGUCGCAAGNUUAAAACUCAAAGGAUUGACGG